CAGGCUUUAAGCCACAAAACGCUCAGGUGUGAAUGAGGUCUUAAAGUCAAACACAACAUGUAUAAUUAACUCCAACAUUUCAUUGAAAGGGACUAAAACCUCAUAACUAGGGCCACGACAGGGGUGGGAAGAGCUGUCCUCUGUACUCUUCUUGCUGUCUGCCCGUUUUAAUGACGCAUCCUCUUCUUUAAAUAGGUACCCGCUCGUGACAGAGGACCGUUAAUUGGGUAACUGUCAGAUCAUAUCUUCCAAUCAAUGCCUGCCUCAGUGUAUCCAUUCCAACCAGGAAGCAACCUUUGACAGUAAGCCCAUUCAAAGACUGCUAGAUCUACUCAGUAUUUUAAAAUCAAGAACAUUACUCCUUACCACCCCCAAGGAGACCCCUAGCCAGAAAAAUUCAAUCGCACACUUCUGGAUAGACCUCUACUGAAGAAGCCAAUGCUUUGACGAUACGCAUCUAGGGGACGGAGCCUGCGUAUUGACGUUUCAUCACGGCCAUCUUGAGACCUAUUAUGUCUGAUUGCACGGCUUACAGUGCCAUCUUUGUGAGUUUUAUAACUUACCUUUUUUAUAUAUAGUUAAACAUUUUAAACAGAGAGCACUAGAUUCUGCCUUCCUUUUUUGCAUAUCCAAAUAUUUGGUGAGAUGAUCAGGGUUUUUAUCCCAUGAGAAUAAGCGAGUUGAAGGAGGAAAAUGAUUACCAGCACCACACCAGCCUUCUCUACUAUCACCAGAGGGGAACACUGCUGAUUUUAUUCAGGUGUGAGAAAUCAAACAGAAAGAUUCAGGGAUUGCCAUAUGCAAGAAGCAUAUAAUUAUGAAGUCUAAAAUCAUGAAUUCUUUGUAAGUAGGAUGACAAUCAACCCGUACUACAUACUG